rnacentral:rRNA from 1 species
ACGCUCGACACCUACGGGAGGCAGCAGUGGGAAUAUUGCACAAUGGGGGAAACCCUGAUGCAGCAACGCCGCGUGAAGGAAGACGGUUUUCGGAUUGUAAACUUCUGUUCUUAGUGAAGAUAGUGACGGUAGCUAAGGAGCAAGCCACGGCUAACUACGUACCAGCAGCCGCGGUAAUCUGAGCGGGCUGGCAAGGC